GAUGAACGCUAGCGAUAGGCUUAACACAUGCAAGUCGAGGGGUAACGUGUUGGAAGCUUGCUUCCGAUGACGACGACCGGCGGAUGGGUGCGUAACGCGUAUGCAACUUGCCUCACAGCGGAGAAUAACCCGGAGAAAUCCGGACUAAUGCUCCAUACACUCUUAGGGACACAUGUCUCUGAGAGGAAAGAUUUAUCGCUGUGAGAUAGGCAUGCGUCCUAUUAGGUAGUUGGUGAGGUAACGGCUCACCAAGCCGACGAUAGGUAGGGGUGCUGAGAGGCAGAUCCCCCACAUUGGGACUGAGACACGGCCCAAACUCCUACGGGUGGCAGCAGUGAGGAAUAUUGGUCAAUGGAGGAAACUCUGAACCAGCCAAGUCGCGUGAAGGAAGAAUGUCCUAAGGAUUGUAAACUUCUUUAGCGAGCGAGUAACGACUUCCACGCGUUUGGGAGUUGGAAAGUAGCUCGAGAAAUAAUAUCGGCUAACUCCGUGCCAGCAAGCCCCGGAAUACGGAAGAUACGAGCGUUAUUCCGAAUUUAUGGGGUUUAAAGGGUGCGCAGGUGGUCCUGCAAGUCAGUGGUGAAAAGCUGAGGCUCAUUCUCAGCCUUGCCGUUGAAACUGCAGGACUUGAGAGUACAUGUUGUGGGCGGAAUGCGUAGUGUAGCGGUGAAAUGCAUAGAUAUUACGCAGAACUCCGAUUGCGAAGGCAGCUCACAAAGGUAUGUCUGACACUGAGGCACGAAAGCGUGGGGAGCAAACAGGAUUAGAUACCCUGGUAGUCCACGCCGUAAACGAUGAUUACUCGAAGUGUGCGAUAUGACAGUAUGCUUCCAAGCGAAAGUGAUAAGUAAUCCACCUGGGGAGUACGCCGGCAACGGUGAAACUCAAAGGAAUUGACGGGGGCCCGCACAAGCGGAGGAACAUGUGGUUUAAUUCGAUGAUACGCGAGGAACCUUACCCGGGAUUGAAAUGUAUGUGCACCUCUUGGGAAACCGAGAGGGUUCUCUUCGGAGACACAUAUGUAGGUGCUGCAUGGUUGUCGUCAGCUCGUGCCGUGAGGUGUCGGCUUAAGUGCCAUAACGAGCGCAACCCUUAUCGUCAGUUACUAACAGGUCAAGCUGAGGACUCUGGCGAGACUGCCGUCGUAAGGCGAGAGGAAGGUGGGGAUGACGUCAAAUCAGCACGGCCCUUACAUCCGGGGCGACACACGUGUUACAAUGGUAGGGACAGAGAGUAGCCACUCGGUGACGAGGAGCGGAUCUUGAAACCCUAUCUCAGUUCGGAUCGGAGUCUGCAACUCGACUCCGUGAAGCCGGAUUCGCUAGUAAUCGCGCAUCAGCCAUGGCGCGGUGAAUACGUUCCCGGGCCU
rnacentral:rRNA from 1 species